CCCCCCCCCGCAUCCCCCACCUGGGUGCUCAGAGAUCAAGGUUGCUGCUGCUGUCUGUAGCCUUCGUGCUCGCCUCUCAGCUCUUGACAGUGUCUGUGAGUCGGAGCACAGCCAGACCUGUGUCCUGUCCCCGCUGAACUGCAAGGGACCAGAAAACUGAGAAGAAAACGGGAUACUCUCAGCCUUAUUUCGCACCAAUGCAGUGAGCACUCGAUGCCAGGCGCUCCUCGGAGGAGCUGGGUGUGGAGGACCUGUAUCAAAGUCUCCUGGACAAUUUGAUUUGAAAAGCGUGCUUGGUGAACCCCGGUGACCACGUCCAGUUGGUCCGGUCUGCGGAAGAGGGAGGUAUUGGGGUUACGUACCUCUGUGGUGUGAGUCUCCACUCAGCCCAGCUUCUCUUGCUGCCUCCAGGGCCCCACCUGAGGUCUGCUUCCAGGCCGGGGAAUACGUUGGCUGGAGAAGAGAAGGCUUUUCCAGCAGCCAAGACCAGGAAACCUUUUAAAAGACCACGCGGUGUCCAGAGACAAAUAAAAGCACUUAACCAAGGAUCGCAGGUUUCCCUGUGGCCCCGGUGAGGGGCUGCCGAUCCAUUUAUUCCGCGAACAGCUUUGAACUAGACCACGUCUCAGUCAUCUCUUCGCUUACUUCCCGGGAUCUCGCUCAGACGUACAGGUAAUAUAAUGUGUCCUUCAUAACUGAGGAGACAAGCAGCAAAGAAGUUGUGAUUCCUUUCAUGGUCACAUAGUUAGUGGCUGGGUGCGUACAAGGUUUAAAUCCAAGCUUUCGAACAGCGGAAUGCAAAGACAUCCCCUGAAACCCAAAAGGUCUCGUGAAAUUUCAUUUAAGAGCUCACUUGCCAUUUGUUGAAGGGGAUGAUGAUAUUGAUCUUGGAAGUAUGACAAGUAAGUGAAACAAUCUUUCUAAACAUCUGUCACAGUGCCUCGCUGCACUACGGUGAUGAUAGACCCCUUCGUUUCUUUUGCUCAACAUCAAGAUUUCCCUACAUCGUAGGAUUAAACGAUCACUCAGGCUUUAGAACCUGCUCUGUAGAAUUUGGUUCCCCUGAUAAAGAGAAGUGAUAUAGAAGACACCCCCGUACUGACAACUGCCUUACGUUAAACAUCUUCUGAAGCAUUAAACUACAGGCAGAGAGCAUGUUGGAAUGUUCUGGAACAAGUUGACCAACAAACGCCUGUGUGUGGCAUUCAAAGCUUCCCUUCGCCCUCUUCGCCACACCCUCAUAUGUGGUCUCAUUUUCUAAUAAUAACUGGAUUUCACUUGUUUACUUGUUCUUAAUGCAAGCUUCUCAAUACGUAGGAAUACCUUUUAUGUCUUUCACACAGUAAAUGUAGAGAAAACCUUGGUGAGAGAAAAGCUACAGUAAGAAACCUGGAGGUGGUAGCAGCAGGAGUGACAGAGUAAGGACUUUGGAAAAUUCUUCCCUUCACAAAAUUACUGAGAACACUGGCAAAAAUGCCCAAGUCAUUAUUGGCGUCGAAAUGGCGUAUGAAACAGUAACCGC
rnacentral:lncRNA from 1 species